GGCUCACCAGGACAACGUCAUCCCCAGAUGGGACCUGGGAGACAGCGGCAGGCUCCAUCCGCGUGUGACGCACUUGCCAACAAACAAGCCACCCAGCCCCUGGCCCCUCUGUGGCUUUCUUAGAGACAGGCUCGAUGACCGAGGAUUACUCACCCAGAGGAAAUCACCACUUCCAGGGCUCACAGACUCCCCUCUGGGCCUAAAUCCUCCCGCUUCUUCAGAUCCCUGCGCUAAGCCCCGGCCUUCAGAGGAGGCUGUCCGACUUCCCUGAGUAUGUCAGACCUGCCUCUCAUAGCAUCUCUUGGCAACCUUCCUCACACUGAUGCUGCCAGGAUGUAAAAAGAAUACUGCGGCCCAAUCCCUACCUUCACAGAGCUCCAACUACCAGCCCAUCAGUAUAGACCACUGGGAAACCACAAGGCUCUGGAAACAGGCAGACCUGGGUUUGCAACCUGGUACUACUGUGUGACAAGAAAACCUCUAAGGAAUCAGUUUUUCCUCCCUAAAUACAGGGAGAAAAGCACAUGGAGAGCCUGGGACUGAGCUAUGGGGAAUACCCUUUAGAAGUAAACCAUCAAAGACCACCAAAAAGGAGUGGCCAGGACAGAAACCAGGAGGGGAGGUGUCAUCAAAGCCAAGAAGGAAGUGCUUCAACUACAAAACUCUGUAAGGGAAGGAUAAGCUAUGUCAAAUACUGCUGAGAGGCUGAGAACAAUGAAGAGAGAGACAUGACCUUUGGCUUUGGCAAGAUGGAGGUCACUAGAGACCUUGGCAAGAGCAUCUAAGUGGAGCAUGUGAACCAGGUCUGCGUGGACAGCAAGAAGGAGAGAAGACAUGGAGAUAUUCCUUUGGAAAGAUGGUUCUGUGAGGAGGAGGACAGCUGGUAGAUGCUCCAUCUGAAAAAAAUGGAAGGAUGUGCACCAAGGCUCAGCUCCACCUCUCCCAGAUGGAAUCAGUGGAGACAUUUUAAACUUUGAUGACCUUGCUGCACUGCUCCAAGGUUGUGGUGAGACUCUGAGAAGGAGUUAGAAAAGACAGAGAUAACAACGGGCAUGGUGAAGAGGGAGAGCGAUCCAAAGAGAGAAUGAACAUCCAUGUAGGGUAAGUGGACUAAGCAAUGUGUCAUGAGGAAGAGUGAAGAAAUGCCUGGCAUCAUCUUCUAGAUUCUGUACGUGUAUGUGAAUGUCUAAGAGUUUUCCAUCUGGUCAUAUGGACUGUUACCUGCACACCUACCUGGAGUUUAUGGCCCUAAUUCAGGGGAUCUGUGUAUAUACCCUGAGAAGAUACAUACACGCUCACAGCCAUGCACAUACACAC